rnacentral:rRNA from 1 species
UACGGGGGGAGCAAGCGGUGUUCGGAUUUACUGGGCGGAAAGGGCGCGUAGGCGGCCACCGCAAGUCGACUGUGAAAUCUCCGGGCUUAACCCGGAAAGGUCAGCCGAUACUGCGGGGCUAGAGUGCAGAAGGGGCAACUGGAAUUCUCGGUGUAGCGGUGAAAUGCGUAGAUAUCGAGAGGAACACCUGCGGCGAAGGCGGGUUGCUGGGCUGACACUGACGCUGAGGCGCGAAAGCUAGGGGAGCAAACGGG